GCUUACGGCCAUACCACCCUGAACAUGCCCGAUGUCAUCCAAUCUCAGAAGCCAAGCAGGGUAGGGCCUUGUUAGUACUUGGAUGGGAGACCGCCUGGGAAUACCAGGUGCUGUAAGCU
ensembl:rRNA 5S_rRNA 5S ribosomal RNA